CGAAUUACCCAAAAUAUAGAAAUCAUUAACCGUUAACCAAACUGAAUUACUUUGAUCUCUCAUGCAUACUUCAAGGUCUAUAAGACAUUCAAAGCUUGCUAAAGUUGUUAGCAUGGUCACUUUCAUGUUCUCUCAUUACUAAUUCUAAAAUCCUUUCUAGGAACAAGGUUGAAUACCCGGAGGCAUUAGGUCCAAUGAAUGUCUUUAGAACAACCCUUAGAUCUCUAUUUGGU
rnacentral:lncRNA from 1 species